UUCCUUCGGAUCAGAUGCUGGCAAAGAAGACCAAGUACAAGAGUGUCAAUUUUGUUCUCAUUGACGAGAAUCUUUAUCGAAGGACAUUUUUCGUCAUCAUUGCUUAAACAUUUGGUUCCAUCCGAAGCAGAGUGUGUUCUUCGGGAAGUUCACAAAGACAUUUGUGGCAAUUAUUUGGCCCGAAGUUGUUGACCUACAAAGUACUUCGGCAGCGAUAUUCUUGAAAGAACUGGGGAUUCAGCACAGAAAGACUUCGGGUAUUCUACUUUGGACCUAUCUCCCACUAUUGAAGAAUUUCGGGCGCCGUCCGAAGCUGCAAAUGUUGUUUGGAGGGUUCAUGUGGAUAUUUGUCAGCCAAAUGGUUCGAUCCCACAUCAGCCACCAAAAGGCUAUAUUUCGAUUUUAUCUCCUAUACCUCUUGCUGUCUGGGGGGUAGUCGUACUGGGUCAAUUGCCUAGGGAUCAGGUUAACAAACGCCAGCUCAUGGGAUCGAAGUUUAAAACAUUCAUAAAGAACUUCAGUAGCUCAUCCAUAUUCUGACAGGCACAGCAAAUGCCACCACGGUGUAAGGAGGUAUGGUAGGACUCGCUGGCCAUUCGAUGGCAGCCCAUUUGUUGUUCUACCCCGAGUGGUAGACAAAGGAUCCUAUAUUGAUUUUACCAGGGUGGUAAAUCAAUGGUCAUUAUUGGUCCUGGUCCUAUUUGUCCUAUGGUCACUACGGUGUAAGGAGGUAUGGUAGGACUCGCUGGUCAUUCGAUGGCAGCCCAUUUGUUGUUCUACCCCGAGUGGUAGACAAAGGAUCCUAUAUUGAUUUUAAAAGGGUGGUAAAUCAAUGGUCACUAUUGGUCCUGGUCCUAUUUGUCCUAUGGUCACUACGGUGUAAGGAGGUAUGGUAGGACUCGCUGGC
rnacentral:lncRNA from 1 species